GCCAGGCAUGGUGGCCCACGCCUGUCAUCCCAGCAACAUGGGAGGCUGAGGCAGGAGGAUCGCAAGUUGGAGUGCAGCCUCAGCAACUUAAUGAGAUCUUAUCUUAA
rnacentral:sRNA from 1 species